AUCCAGACUCCUACGGGAGGCAGCAGUGGGGAAUAUUGCACAAUGGGGGAAACCCUGAUGCAGCGACGCCGCGUGAGUGAAGAAGUAUUUCGGUAUGUAAAGCUCUAUCAGCAGGGAAGAAGUUGACGGUACCUGAGUAAGAAGCCCCGGCUAACUACGUGCCAGCAGCCGCGGUAAUACGUAGGGGGCAAGCGUUAUCCGGAUUUACUGGGUGUAAAGGGAGCGUAGACGGCAGUGCAAGUCUGAAGUGAAAGCCCCGGGCUUAACCCGGGAACUGCUUUGGAAACUGUACGGCUGGAGUGCUGGAGAGGUAAGCGGAAUUCCUAGUGUAGCGGUGAAAUGCGUAGAUAUUAGGAGGAACACCAGUGGCGAAGGCGGCUUACUGGACAGUAACUGACGUUGAGGCUCGAAAGCGUGGGGAGCAAACAGGAUUAGAUACCCUUGUA
rnacentral:rRNA from 1 species